GGCUCAGGAUGAACGCUGGCGGCGUGCCUAACACAUGCAAGUCGAACGAAGCACUUUUGGUUUGAGAUUCGUCAAGAACCGGAUUUGACUUAGUGGCGGACGGGUGAGUAAUGUAUGAGCAACCUGCCUUUCAGAGGGGGACAACAGUUGGAAACGACUGCUAAUACCGCAUAAUGUACAUUGAAGGCAUCUUUGAUGUACCAAAGGAGCAAUCCGCUGAAAGAUGGGCUCAUAUCUGAUUAGUUAGUUGGCAGGGUAACGGCCUACCAAGACUGCGAUCAGUAGCCGGACUGAGAGGUUGAACGGCCACAUUGGGACUGAGAUACGGCCCAGACUCCUACGGGAGGCAGCAGUGGGGAAUAUUGGGCAAUGGGCGAAAGCCUGACCCAAGCAACGCCGCGUGAAGGAAGAAGGUCUUCGGAUUGUAAACUUCUUUUAUGAGGGACGAAGGACGUGACGGUACCUCAUGAAUAAGCCACGGCUAACUACGUGCCAGCAGCUGC
rnacentral:rRNA from 1 species